AACACCACCCUACCACAGAGAAAUGCUCCAGCGCCUUACCAGCGCACUGGCGAUCCGGACUUUGCCCAGGAACUAUUUCCAAAUCUCCACGCACCGUCUAUUCCUCCGGCCAGCAAACUUCCUCCGCCGAAACUCACAAGUCAUUCCCUCGCUCUUCUCAAUGUCUUUAAGAAUGGCAGCGUUAAAAAAGAGGACGUAACUAAACCUGAACUAUCAUCUUCUCAAAGCACAGCACCUCGUCCAAACCAUGCCCAAUCUCAACACCAUGAGAAUCUCCUGGGGCUUCUGAAAAAGCCUCAAGCUCCUCCUCCUGUCCCAGGUCAUGUGGAGUUGGCUGCUCGGCCCAGUCCUUCUUCUGAUCCCGCAAGAGUUCACCUAUCUGGGGUUUCGCAAUCACAACCAAGAACACAAACCCCACGCAAGUCUACCAACGGUGUGGCGAGAACCUCGGCCACUGUGUCAGGUCCCCUGAACAUUCCUCAGUUCGAAGCCAUUGCAAAACCAGUUCCUAAUAAGGUUGCGAGACAAUCUCCCCGAAAUAUUGGCAAGGGGGAGGCUACACCGCCAAAAGGAAACUUCGUUAUCCUCCCACGCCCACCUCCUGCGAAGGAUGCGGUACCACCCCAACCCGCCAACGCCAGACCACCACCAUCUUCAUCCCCGAGAAGAAAUGUCAAACUUUCUGAGAUCACAAAGCCGUUUCAACCGAAAAUCCUCCGCCGUCCUGUUAAGGAAGACCUCCAGGCUUCUCUUCCUAAUGGCACGGUGACUGUUAGUGCGUUUACUCUCUCUGAAAAAGCUACUGUGUCUGAUCAUCCGCGGGGGAAUUCUGUGCAAACGAAUGCGAAUUAUGACCGACGCCUGAGUCGGACGGCCUCCCAAAAGGAAGCUUUGCUAUCUCUCUUUGGAAAAGUCUCUCCUUCUCCCCCCCCGGUCUCCGUAGAACAAAGUCGACCUUCUCCCCCUGCACCAAAAUCUCCACCACGUUCAGCCAUCAUUAGCCCAGUUGAUUUGUCUUCGCCUAAAGUUGGCAUGCGAACAGCACACGGUCCCGCUCCAUUGUCUACUGGUGGAAGCAUUUCUCCCAUUGGUGGAAUCGAUACUCGUAAGACGGCUCCAACAUCACCGAGUAACAAGGCGUUCUUACUCGGGUAUCUGGAUAACAUUGCCAAAGGUAAACAUUGAUUGUGUAAUGCUAUCUACUCUGAGAGUUUUGUUGGUUUUAUGGCCGUUUUGAUACAAGUGUGGACGUUCCUCGUGAAGAUUUGAAAUGGCGUGUUAGCCGAAAUACAAAUGGUUAUUUAUUAUUAUCAAUUGAGCGCAAAACUAUCUUUAUCUUUUUAACCUCAAAUUAUUUUUCUACGCGUAAAGAUGGCC
rnacentral:sRNA from 2 species